rnacentral:lncRNA from 1 species
AAAAAGUAUAAUGGUCGUACGAUUGAGUAUUCAGUGUCAGGAAGAGUUCACUCAUUUAAAGAACCUUGGGUGUAUGACGCAACAGCAAAAGAUGUUGAAACUGGUGUGUUUGUGAAAAAGAAGCAUUUUGAGACUGCUGAUGAGGCAGUAUAUGAAGCAGUUGAAGAGUUGGUCAAGAAGCUCAAGGAACGCAACAUUUUACAAGUAUAAUUAAUAUAUGGUAGACUAUAUACUAUUUAAGAAUAGUGUUUCCAAGCAUACAGUUACAGAAACACGCUUCUCGACCAAUCACCGCUCGCGUUCUAUAAAUAUUUGGGAGCUUAAGCAUGUAGGACGGCAACACGACGACGACGGCCAAAACUAAUUCCUUCAAAUAAAUGAUAGUAAAGAAAACUUGUCGUAUAUUAUAAUUCGUAUGAAUUUAAUACAGUAUGAGAAGUUGAAAACAUUGGUUUUAUGUUUGGGAAGAGUUCUACUGAACCGAAUUUUAAGUUGCACUUGUUACGGCUUGAAAUGCAGGCGUUGUAUAAAAGACGUGAAAAUCUGUGAUUUGCCGUUGUAAACAGAGCAACGUGCACGUCUGAAUCUCUCCUGGGACUUUAAUUAUUUAUUUCUUUUCAUUAACUCAUUGUAUUGGCUGCCGUCGUCGUCGUGUUGCCGUCCUACAUGCGUAAGCUCCCCAUUAGUGCUCUUGACGUUAUUCAUGCAUGGGUAGCUCACUUUUACGGUUUUUCGGUUGAAGAUCUUAUGGGGACGAGGCGACGAGAUGAUUUAGAGUGGAAUGCUGGUCAAAUAACUGCAGAAAUUUACGUGCAACGUUCGUUCUAACGUUCUUGCUGUAGGGAGAAUUGGACGAUAUCACCUUUGCCGAUUUCUCUCGCUUAUUGGUGAGUUGUUGCUGGUGUUGUUGGGCGAGUACUGUAAAGAGACGUUGUAGUUACUGUGGCUAGAGCGUUCUCUGUUACGAGGUUGCGUUUUCUAGCUGCGUGUCUUCCAGGGGCUCGACUAUGUGUAGUGGAAAUCGUCCUUAUUAGGGACCGGUCAUUAAUAAUGCGAGGUGGGAGAGGGGGGGUGAGAAAAGAGAGGCGGUUUCAACUAUUUUUGCCUGAAUUGGGGGCGGCCUCAAACUGAAAUUUUGUUCGACAAGGGGCGAUCCUAAUUUUUUAAUACUUUCCUACUCAUUUCCAAUCUCUCGCCUUCACCUUUUUAGUUCCUAUAAAUUCUAAAAAAGUUCAAUAUUUGG